CAUAUCAUUAAAUAAUUCGAAACCGAUAAUUCGAAUUUACCCUGUAACUACCCUCCCAGUUGAGAAAGCGGGUUAAAAUUUGGUGUACGAUGUUUUCUUUGGAUUGGUUUCGUGUUCGAAAUUCCUAUAUUGAACAGUAAUUGCUGGCUACCUACGUUCGACUGAUGAAAUUAUAUUGGCGUUAUUCCAAUAAGUCAUACUGAUUGUAAGCUAUGGGAUACAUUUGCCAUUAAAUUCACAUUCAAGCUGUCAGGGUCAGAACAUUCAUAUGAUCAGUUCGUAAAAAAGUGACAUCAUUUGAAAGUUAUUUCGUUAAUAUCUCGUUAGGUAUAAAUUUAGCACAUAUGAAGAUCAAUAUAUUUUUGCUUAGAAUUUGAUAUUCUAUCAAUUUAUGAUACAAAAAAUGGGUCAUUCUAUUUAAAAAGAUCAAGCUGAGAAAAGAUAUUCACAAGAAAAGCAAAAUCACGUAUCUUAUGAGAUGUGUCCCUCGACACCAUUUAAAUUCUAUGUCUUAGGCCGCAUUCAGACUAUGCAAUAAAGUUGAACAACUUUCCGUGCAACUUCGGGUCCGAAUUUCUGUGUUUCUGGCCGUGCCUGUACCAGAUCUUUGCAGAAGCGACGUCGAUCGAUUCCUUAUGUUUUUGCGAUCAAAAUGAACCCAAACGCAACAUAAAUUGGACAAUACAGCAUUGCCUCGAAACAAGCAAGUGGUCUCUGCUUCGAAAUAAGCAACUCGCUAUCCCCUCUUCUUUGUUUGAAGUCGCCCGCAAAGUGAGAGGUACGAGAAAUGAAUGAGAGGUCCAUGAAAGCGCGAAGCCGAUGUUUAGGGUAAUACAUAUUCAAUUUCAAUUAAUCAACGAAGAUCAGCGAAGAGGAAUUUGAUAAAAGCUUACUGGAGGAUUCACAUCUGUCCGGAUCGCUAACCGCGAUCACCAAAGCCGAUUCGCUGCGUUUCAAUUACAAUGAUGAGGCACACCGCGAUUGAUCGUGACAAUCGAUUUAAUAAAAGAGAUCAAGUGAUACAUCGCGUCGCGCCAAAGGUACAUCUCAUGAUGAACUCACUGACAAUGAGAAAUAGUUUGCAGUUGAUUGGUAGGAUGAUUGCAAGAGGAAGUACAUUUACGUACGCGCGGUUGACCCCCUGUCGCACUAUUCGCUAAGGGGGGCCGGGCAAUGUGGGACUCAUACAUACCACCCAGAAGGGAUGAUACACUACCCACUAAAACUUCUCCCCUAAGUGUGGGCCGCCGGCACCUUUCACCGCUUCAAGUACCCUAGGACAGGCCUGUCC